GGAGGAAAAGAACUAACAAGGAUUCCCCUAGUAACUGCGAGUGAAGCGGGAAAAGCUCAAAUUUAAAAUCUGGCAGUCUCUGGCUGUCCGAGUUGUAAUCUAGAGAAGUGCUGCCCGCGCUGGACCGUGUACAAGUCUCCUGGGAUGGAGCGUCAUAGAGGGUGAGAAUCCCGUCUCUGACACGGACUACCAGGGCUUUGUGGUACGCUCUCAAAGAGUCGAGUUGUUUGGGAAUGCAGCUCAAAAUGGGUGGUAAAUUCCAUCUAAAGCUAAAUAUUGGCGAGAGACCGAUAGCGAACAAGUACCGUGAGGGAAAGAUGAAAAGAACUUUGGAAAGAGAGUUAAACAGUACGUGAAAUUGCUGAAAGGGAAACGCUUGAAGUCAGUCACGUUGGCUGGGGAUCAGCCUCGCUCUUUUGCGUGGUGUAUUUCCUGGUUGAYGGGUCAGCAUCAAUUUUGACCGCUGGAAAAAGGCUUGAGGAAUGUGGCAGCUCCGGCUGUGUUAUAGCUUCUUGUCACAUACAGCGGUUGGGAUUGAGGAACUCAGCACGCCGCAAGGCCGGGUUUCGACCACGUUCGUGCUUAGGAUGCUGGCAUAAUGGCUUUA
rnacentral:rRNA from 1 species